CACAGGUUCAACCUAGUACUUAUUAAGGGUAUUUAAAGAGCAUUAGCAGAGCGCCUGGGUGACUCAGCGCCCCAAGCAUCCAACUUUUGAUUUCGGCUCAGGUUGUGAUCUCAUGGUUUGUGGGCUUGAGCCCCAAGUCCGGGUCUGUGCUGACAGCACGAAGCCUGCUUGGGGUUCUUACUCUCCCUCUCUCUCUGCCCAUCCCUUGCUCACACUCUCUCUCUAAAUAAAUAAACA